rnacentral:rRNA from 1 species
AGAGUUUGAUCCUGGCUCAGGACGAACGCUGGCGGCGCGCCUAACACAUGCAAGUCGAACGAGCGAGAGAGAGCUUGCUUUCUCGAGCGAGUGGCGAACGGGUGAGUAACGCGUGAGGAACCUGCCUCAAAGAGGGGGACAACAGUUGGAAACGACUGCUAAUACCGCAUAAGCCCACGGCUCGGCAUCGAGCAGAGGGAAAAGGAGCAAUCCGCUUUGAGAUGGCCUCGCGUCCGAUUAGCUAGUUGGUGAGGUAACGGCCCACCAAGGCGACGAUCGGUAGCCGGACUGAGAGGUUGAACGGCCACAUUGGGACUGAGACACGGCCCAGACUCCUACGGGAGGCAGCAGUGGGGAAUAUUGCACAAUGGGGGAAACCCUGAUGCAGCGACGCCGCGUGGAGGAAGAAGGUCUUCGGAUUGUAAACUCCUGUUGUUGAGGAAGAUAAUGACGGUACUCAACAAGGAAGUGACGGCUAACUACGUGCCAGCAGCCGCGGUAAAACGUAGGUCACAAGCGUUGUCCGGAAUUACUGGGUGUAAAGGGAGCGCAGGCGGGAAGACAAGUUGGAAGUGAAAUCCAUGGGCUCAACCCAUGAACUGCUUUCAAAACUGUUUUUCUUGAGUAGUGCAGAGGUAGGCGGAAUUCCCGGUGUAGCGGUGGAAUGCGUAGAUAUCGGGAGGAACACCAGUGGCGAAGGCGGCCUACUGGGCACCAACUGACGCUGAGGCUCGAAAGUGUGGGUAGCAAACAGGAUUAGAUACCCUGGUAGUCCACACUGUAAACGAUGAUUACUAGGUGUUGGAGGAUUGACCCCUUCAGUGCCGCAGUUAACACAAUAAGUAAUCCACCUGGGGAGUACGACCGCAAGGUUGAAACUCAAAGGAAUUGACGGGGGCCCGCACAAGCAGUGGAGUAUGUGGUUUAAUUCGACGCAACGCGAAGAACCUUACCAAGUCUUGACAUCCUGCGACGGUGCUGGAAACAGUACUUUCCUU